rnacentral:lncRNA from 1 species
CAUCAUCCUAGAAAACUUGGAGGCCAGUGAGGACAAAAAUAAAAAGUUAUAAGACUUUUGAAAUAUGUGGAUUUUAGGGUUAUCUUUGGCACCCCCUAGAACCUAAACCGUGGGGUGCAGCGUCAUGAUUUGAAUAACUUUUAAUGGCCAUGGGGUGUAGAUUGGCCUGAGCAAAUGUGGUGCCGGUGGAACGAAAGCCUUCGGAGGAGUUAGCGAAAUUCCAAUGUGUGCGGAUCGGCAAAAAAUGCGGAAUAACCCUUUAACCGUACAUUUGACAGAUACGCGCGCAUUGACUUUUUCGUAGAUCUUAUUGAGAUACAUGUGUGUGUCAAAUUUUGUGUCAAUAUGACAAAGCGUACAGGCGUGACACUCAACAAUGUGUAUUUUCCCCUUAGGGGACAAGAAAAAAUUGACUUUUUUCUCCUGCCAUGGGGGGGCGCUCUUUUGGGGAGUAAAAAUUCCUUCACAAAUGUGUUGAUGGCUGGACAUUGCAUCAUCCUAGAAAACUUGGAGGCCAGUGAGGGCAAAAAUAAAAAGUUAUAAGACUUUUAAGACUGUGGAUUUUUUGGUUAUCUUUGGCGCCCCCUAGAACCUAAACCGUGGGGUGCAGCGUCAUGAUUUUUACAACUUUGAAUGGCCAUGGAGUGUAGAUUGGCCUGAGCAAAUUUGGUGUCAGUGGGACGAAAGCCUUAGGAGGACUUAGCGAAAUUCCAAUGUGUGCGAAUCGCCAAAAAAUGCAAAAUAGCCCUUUAACUGUACAUUUUACACUUACGUGCCCAUUGACUUUUUCAUAGAUCUUAUUGAGAUACACGUGAUUUUCAAAUUUUUUGUCAAUAUGACAAAGCGUAAAGGCGUGACACUCAACAACGUGAAUUUUCACCUUUCGGGAUAAGAAAAAAUGGACUUUUUUCUCCUGCCAUGGGGGGGGCGCUCUUUUGGGGAGUAAAAAUUUCUUCACAAAUGUGUUGAUGGCUGGACAUUGCAUCAUCCUAAAAAACUUGGAGGCCAGUAUGAAAAAAAAUAAAAAGUUAUAAGACUUUUAAGAAUGUGGAUUUUUGGGUUAUAUUUGGUGCCCCCUAGAACCCAAACCGUGGGAUGCAGCAAGAUGAUUUGUACAACUUUUAAUGGCCAUGGGGUGUAGAUUGGCCUGAGCAAAUUUGGUGCCGGUGGAAAGAUAGCCUUCGGAGGAGUUAGCGAAAUUCCAAUGUGUGCGGAUCGGCAAAAAAUGCAAAAUAGCCCUUUAACCGUACAUUUGACAGAUACAUGCCCUUUGACUUUUUCGUAGAUCUUAUUGAGAUACACGUGUGUGUCAAAUUUUUUGUCAAUAUAACAAAGCGUUCAGGCGUGACACUCUACAAUGUGUAUUUUCAUGUUAGGGGACAAGAAAAAAUGGACCUUUUUCUCCUGCCAUUGGGGGGAGCUCUUUUGGGGAGUAAAAAUUCCUUCACAAAUGUGUUGAUGGCUGGACAUUGCAUCAUCCUAGAAAACUUGAAGGCCAGUGAGGACAAAAGUAAAAAGUUAUAAGACUUUUAAGAAUGUGGAUUUUUGGGUUAUCUUUGGCGCCCCCUAGAACGUAAACCGUGGGGUGCAGCGUCAUGAUUUGUACAACUUUUAAUGGCCAUGGGGGGUAGAUUGGCCUGCGCAAAUGUGGUGCCGGUCGAACGAAAGCCUUAGGAGGACUUAGCGAAAUUCCAAUGUGUGCAGAUCUGCAAAAAAUGCAAAAUACCCCAUUAACCGUACAUUUGACAGAUACGCCCGCACUGACUUUUUUGUAGAUCUUAUUGAGAUACAUGUGUGUGUCAAUUUUUGUUUCAAUAUGACAAAGCGUACAGCCGUCAUGUGAAUUUUCACCUUAGGGGGCACUAUGGAGCCAUUUUGCAUUUUCUUGUUUGGGCGACUUCAGAAUAUCGAAUUUUUCACCAGGCCCGGUCGUCCUGCCAAAUUUCCUGAGUUUUCGCCAGUGGGAAGUGGGCCAUUUUCCAGUUUAAAGCGGAGGAAAAAUAAUAACGAACUAGGGCCCCGGUGGGGCACUGUCGGGCCCGAGCCGCGUCGUGCCGCCCCCAGCGCGACCGCCUCCCCCUCCCGAUCGCGUCACACUCAAGGUCCAAAGAAGGUGUGCGCACUUGUCUGUGGUCAUUUCCCAUUAUAAUGAAUGGAGGCGCAGUUUCUACCAAAACACUCGCUGCAGACAAACUACAUGUCCUAUUUGAAAAAAGUCUGGACCAUGAGUGAGGGCACAAACACAGCUAGGAUAUAUCCAAAUGGCAAG